rnacentral:misc_RNA from 1 species
GUGCGAUAAGUAAUGUGAAUUGCAGUAUUCCGUGAAUCAUCGAAUCUUUGAACGCAUAUUGCACUUUCUGGUAUUCCGGAAAGUAUGCCUGUUUGAGGGUCAGUUAAAUAAAAAUCGGUGUUGUUGCCGCUUUUCGUGGUGACGCGUCGGAAUUGAGUCGUCUUCGGUUAAGUGACUUAAAAUUUUAUAUGAUUUUCGAACGUAUUUAAAUUUAUUUGAACGUUUGAUAUCGAAUGCUUAUUAGGUUCGGUCAUCCUCAUGACUCGCGCCUAUAAUUUUUCAUUAAAUGACCUCAAAUCAGGUAAGAAUACCCGCUGAACUUAA